ACGAACGCUGGCGGCGUGCUUAACACAUGCAAGUCGAGCGGUAAGGCCUUUCGGGGUACACGAGCGGCGAACGGGUGAGUAACACGUGGGUGAUCUGCCCUGCACUUCGGGAUAGGCCUGGGAAACUGGGUCUAAUACCGGAUAUGACCUCCUAUCGCAUGGUGGGGGGUGGGAAGAUUUAUCGAUGCAGGAUGGGCCCGCGGCCUAUCAGCUUGUUGGUGGGGUAAUGGCCUACCAAGGCGACGACGGGUAGCCGACCUGAGAGGGUGACCGGCCAAACUGGGACUGAGACACGGCCCAGACCCCUACGGGAGGCAGCAGUGGGGAAUAUUGCACAAUGGGCGAAAGCAUGAUGCAGCGACGCCGCGUGAGGGAUGACGGCCUUCGGGUUGUAAACCUCUUUCAGCAGGGACGAAGCGCAAGUGACGGUACCUGCAGAAGAAGCACCGGCUAACUACGU
rnacentral:rRNA from 1 species